CCCUUAGAUGUCCUGGGCUGCACGCGCGCUACACUGAUGUGUCCAGUAAGCACCUAACCUCUUCCGAAAGGAACGGGUAACCUUUGCAAAGCACAUCGUGAUGGGGAUAGAUUAUUGCAAUUAUUAAACUUGAACGAGGAAUUCCUAGUAAACGCAAGUCAUCAGCUUGCAUUGAUUACGUCCCUGCCCUUUGUACACACCGCCCGUCGCACCAAUCGAUUGAGGUAUCUGGUGAAAAUGCAGGAAACCUCUGUGGCAUGCUUCAUUGCAAGCCGUAGAAGAUGAAUGCAUUUAAACCAGGCGCCUUAGAGAAUGGUGAAGUCGUAACA
rnacentral:rRNA from 1 species